CUCAGCGCAGGUCCCCGGGGCGCCGAGUUUGGGGGUGCUCGCCCCGCGGGUCCCUUUCAUUCCUAGGAAAACGCGCCGCGGGGCCUCCCGUCUGUCUGUCUUGCACACACGUGUUGCCAAAUCCCCCCGCACCGUCUUUAGAUCUGGACUGGCCGCCCCACCUUCUCCCUUCAUUGAUCUAUGUUUUGCUUUUUCUUUUCCUACCUUGUUUCCAUUGACAAAGUAGACCCUUUCCUUCAACACUAACCUUCUCCCGACACCGAGGGGAAACCAACAGCUUAGGGCCUUUCCAGCGCGUUUUUACCCUUGCCUUGCUCUAACCUCGCCUAAUUUUGCCCACUUUACCUGUUCUUUGAUUUCUAUCCAAAUGCAAUUUCUUCCUUCAACCAACAUUUAAGGGCCACCCUUAAGAGCUACAUUGCCUGAGUUUGAACCCUAGCUCUGCCACUUAACCACCUGCAUAAACUGGGCAAAGUAACUUUGUGCUUCAACUUCUUCCUCGUGUAAAAUGAUAGUAAAAGUACUGAAUCUGUGUAAGUUAAUAGAAUACCUACAACAGUGUUUAGCAAGUAAUAGCGAUUGUUAUUGUUCAAUGUCAGCCACUCUUCUAACUCUAGGAUGCAGAGACUUUGCCCCUCUGGUGUUUAUAUGUUAACCAUCCUUUUUUUUUUUUUUUUUUUUUU
rnacentral:lncRNA from 10 species